rnacentral:rRNA from 1 species
CCUACGGGGGACAGCAGUGGGGAAUAUUGCACAAUGGGCGAAAGCCUGAUGGGGCGACGCCGCGUGGGGGAAUGAAGGUCUGCGGAUUGUAAACCCCUGUCAUGUGGGAGCAAAUUAAAAAGAUAGUACCACAAGAGGAAGAGACAGCUAACUCUGUGCCAGCAGCCGCGGUAAUACAGAGGUCUCAAGCGUUGUUCGGAAGCACUGGGCGUAAAGGGUGCGUAGGCUGUUUCGUAAGUCGUGUGUGAAAGGCGCGGGCUCAACCCGCGGACGGCACAUGAUACUGCGAGACUAGAGUAAUGGAGGGGGAACCGGAAUUCUCGGUGUAGCAGUGAAAUGCGUAGAUAUCGAGAGGAACACUCGUGGCGAAGGCGGGUUCCUGGACAUUAACUGACGCUGAGGCACGAAGGCCAGGGGAGCGAAAGGGAUUAGAUACCCUUGUAGUC